rnacentral:rRNA from 1 species
AUACGGAGGAUCCGAGCGUUAUCCGGAUUUAUUGGGUUUAAAGGGUGCGCAGGCGGGAGAUUAAGUCGGCGGUGAAAUUUUGCCGCCCCACCGUAAAAGGGCCUUUGGAACCGGGUUCCCUGAGGGUAGAUGAAGGAGGCGGGAUUUUUGGUGUAGCGGGGAAAUGCAUAGAUAUCACGAGGAACUCCGAUUGCGCAGGCAGCUUACUAAACUACUACUGACGCUCAGGCACGAAGGCGUGGGGAUCAAACAGGAUUAGAUACCCUGGUAGUCCACGCAGUAAACGAUGAUAACUAACCGCUGGGUCGUAGUGAUUCAGUGGCCAAGCGAAAGCGAUAAGUUAUCCACCUGGGGAGUACGACCGCAAGGUUGAAACUCAAAUGAAUUGGCGGGG